ACGGAGACGGAUGUAAACACAACCAUAAAUCCCAUUACCCUGCUAAAUACUGGGUCUGGAUUUAGAAAAAAAAAAACACCCCCCCCAAAAAAAAGCAAGCAAAAGAGCGGCUUUUCAGGUUAAAAGAGAUAAUAAGAAGCUGUGAGUGCCGAGAUUUCAGCCGAGUAAAUUGUCACGGGUGAGACUUUGAUUAAGACCAAGUGGAAGCUCAUGGUGAGGGCAUCUUAGAAGGGAGAUUCUCACUAGUCUGGACCUAAGACCUUCAGCCUAUGGAGACCUCUAGACCUCUGCCCAGAAGAGCACCCCAAAUCCCCUACCAGGGUCAUUGAUUUCUGUUAAGGGAACAGCUGAUGUCAUGGUUUCCAUCAGAACAGCAGGCUGAAGACCAGCGGCUCUCCAGGAAUCCUCCAGGUUUCCUGUGCCAGGUUGUGACUGCUGAGACAUCCAGCCUCGUGGACAGAGGAAUCCCUCCCUCCCCAGACUCUCAGUCUCUCCAGCGUGAGACGGUGCAGACUACCCCAGACGCUGAUCCCUGCAGGAAAUCUCCUCUCAGACCCAUCCAGAGGUCCGACUCUCGGUUUAUCCCAGAUCCAAUUGAGUGGACAACCAAGAGUAGCCAUCACGGGAGCCUCUGAGGCACCGCUGUCUCCUUGUGCUGUCACAGCAGAGAGCAGAAACGUAGCCAACUACUCUUCAACAGGCUGCAGCCUCUAUCUUCCCCCCCAGUACCGCCGCAAUACACCCCAAAAAUCAGCUCCUACCACAAAACACGCUGUGCCUAUUUGACCUUGACUCUAGGCUGUAAAUUUUGCUCAGAUCUGUCAAACAUGCUCGCUCUCUCUCUCUCUGGCAUGAAUGGACUGACCACCCAGAACACGUUCUCACACGGUAACAGAAACAAAAAAGACAGACUCAGACAGCCGUGUUUCAAAGCUUGGCUUCCUGCACACCGAGAGCAUUCCUCCUGUCAAAGCAAGUCAUAUGGCUAAAGCCAGUGUCAUCAAGGCAAGAAAAUGGUCCUCCACCUCGUAUGUGAAGAGAAAGGAUGGACGUAGAGGGAGAGGUAAUGAAAACUCAGAACUAUCAUUGCAUACACCAAAUGGAGUCCUUCCUCCUCCCUCUUUCUCCCUUCUCCCUUCCUCCCUCCCUCUCUCCGUCCCUCCCUCCCUC